AGCGAACGCUGGCGGCAGGCCUAACACAUGCAAGUCGAACGGACCCUUCGGGGUUAGUGGCGGACGGGUGAGUAACACGUGGGAACGUGCCUUUAGGUUCGGAAUAGCUCCUGGAAACGGGUGGUAAUGCCGAAUGUGCCCUUCGGGGGAAAGAUUUAUCGCCUUUAGAGCGGCCCGCGUCUGAUUAGCUAGUUGGUGAGGUAAUGGCUCACCAAGGCGACGAUCAGUAGCUGGUCUGAGAGGAUGACCAGCCACAUUGGGACUGAGACACGGCCCAAACUCCUACGGGAGGCAGCAGUGGGGAAUCUUGCGCAAUGGGCGAAAGCCUGACGCAGCCAUGCCGCGUGGAUGAUGAAGGUCUUAGGAUUGUAAAAUCCUUUCACCGGUGAAGAAAAUGACUGUAGCCGGAGAAGAAGCCCCGGCUAACUUCGUGCCAGCAGCCGCGGUAAAAC
rnacentral:rRNA from 1 species